UGGAGACCAUCAUUACCCAGAUAAACCAAACUAAACCAGAGAGACAAGGAAAAUGAACAAACUUGCCAGCUCGGCGACACAAAAACAGCUGCAAAACAGAAGAUGACUCUAUAAUCAAGUUGACACUUUGGAGGAGCGAGGGUUUCACAGCAAGUAGUUUUGAGUACGACUGACAGCUUGUGUUGGACUCAAUAUCAGAAUACGGAGGACUCCAUAUGCCUAAAAAGCAGAGGAAUAAAAUCAAAAAUAUCAAUUUGUCACAAUUUAUAUUUAUUAUACAAAAUUGCUAUUUAAUAUUUUUGUGGCACAUUUUUAUUUUGGCACUUUUGGUUCACCAUAGUUGUACACCUCUGCAGCAUGACAACAUCUAACAUUUUUAAAACAGAAAAAUGAUCCAAACCCAGAAGGCACAUCCAUGUCUUUAUUGUUGAAGUGGUUAUUAUCAUAGAGCUGUUUGAUAGCAAACAUGCAAUCUGGAUGUAGAGCCCUUAAAUACAAAGUGGACAAGGCUGUAUAAAUAAUAUAAUGUGCACUGUAUGGCAUGUAAAAUAUAUACUGUGUAUAUUUAUAUGUAUAAAACAUGCUUCUUGGUUAAAGGAGAGUGCACAUACACACACACACACACACUCACACACUCAGUUUACUCUCCACCUGCUAACUAAGUCACAUACAUACAACAUAUGCCCAAACUUAGAGUUUGGUUUCCUUUAAUACAAAAAUAAGGACAAACACUUUUAGAAAAAACUUCAAUGGAAUAGUGCUGCUCAGUAUUUCCACUCAUGGGUUCAGGAUAUGAUUGGAUACCUUCAUUAUUUCGGCUUCUUAUUGGUCAACUUCCCUCAUUUUCACUUUCGGUACUGACUAAAAACGACUAGGCAUGUGGGUGAAAAAGCAAACGCAUGCAA